rnacentral:tRNA from 1 species
AAAUAAGAAACAAAUAAUUGUAUUUAGUUUCGACCUAAAAUUUUAGUUUUAAUAAACUCUUAUUUU